GGGGAAUAUUGGACAAUGGACGAAAGUCUGAUCCAGCGACGCCGCGUGGAGGAAGAAGUCCUUCGGGAUGUAAACUCAUGUACCUAACGAAUAAGACGGAAGGGGAACCUUCCGGGAGAAGGUAAUUAGUGAAAAGCCCCGGCUAACUACGUGCCAGCAGCCGCGGUAAUACGUAGGGGGCGAGCGUUGCCCGGAAUUACUGGGCGUAAAGGGAACGUAGGUGGCUCUUAAAGUCAGGUGUUAAAAUAACGAAGCUUAACAGGUUAAUGCGCUUGAAACGAAAGGGCUUGAGGGUAAUAGAGGGAGAUGGAAUUAACUGUGUAGGGGUGAAAUGCGCAGAUAUAGGUAAGAAGGCCGGUGGGGAAGCCGAUCUCCUGGGUUGACUCUGACACUGAGGUUCGAAAGCUAGGGGAGCAAACC
rnacentral:rRNA from 1 species